rnacentral:rRNA from 1 species
UACGUAGGGUGCAAGCGUUAAUCGGAAUUACUGGGCGUAAAGCGUGCGCAGGCGGUGAUGUAAGACAGUUGUGAAAUCCCCGGGCUCAACCUGGGAACUGCAUUUGUGACUGUAGAGCUGGAGUACGGCAGAGGGGGAUGGAAUUCCGCGUGUAGCAGUGAAAUGCGUAGAUAUGCGGAGGAACACCGAUGGCGAAGGCAAUCCCCUGGGCCUGUACUGACGCUCAUGCACGAAAGCGUGGGGAGCAAACAGG